AGCGAAAGAGAGAAAGACGACACAUUGAUGUAUUGUAGGAACAUGUAAUAAUAAAUCAUAUUUUAUGAAUGGUCUUUUAGAACUUCAACUGCUAAAAACUAUUUAGCUGAAGUUGACAAAACAUGAAAACUUUUCUUAUAAAGUGAUCAAAACAAUUUUCUAUUCAUUACAUGCAAAGAAUUCCCCCCUUAUAAAAAAAAAUGCAAAGGAGAAAAAAUAUGGCUCAAAUUCAAUAUAUGUUUUAUGUUUUUAUCAUCAUUCUUUUUGUCUUUUUCAUCCCAACUAAAAGUACCAUUAGAGCUUUGAGAAUGGCUCCAUGCAAAGCUCGCGCUGAUUGUUCGAAACUUAUGUGUGAACUUCCUAAAAUUUCAUGGUGUUUUCAUGGUUAUUGUGAGUGCGUGCAAGUGUAACAAAUAAGUUGAAAAACAAUCAUAUAUAACUUGUAGUCGUAUAAUUAUAUUUGAGAAUCAUAAUAUUGGUACCCUUAUAAUUUUGCUCACACUUUUAUUUAUUUUUCUGUGACAAAGUCAAAUGUGUAUUGUAAUUGUGAUAUUACACUAGCAUGUUAUUGUUGUUUAUUUAUAGAAAUAUUUUAAUAAAUAGGUUUAAUCAAAUUUUUCGUUCCUAUAAAUAUAGCAAAAUUUUGUUUUUUGCCCUUAAAAAAUAAAAUAAAAUGUUUUCAUCCUCAAUUUUUUUGUUCCUUAAUUGCCAAUUUAGGUUCAUAUAAAUGUCAAGAUUAUAACUCUUUUAUGGUCAAGAUGUAUUCAUGUUAUGUCCGUUUAUUAUGUUCAACGUUUAUAUAUUUAUAUUAUGUCAAAAUUAUAUCCAUUAGGGACCAAAAAAUGUCUAAUUUAGGAUUUCAAUUGUAUGUAAAUGUUUAAUUUGACUUCAAUUGUUUUUUACAAGUUAAAUUCCACUGUAUACAAACUUUAAUCAUAAAAUUUGAGCUUUAAAUUCUGGUGUUACCAAUCAUUUUGUGUUCUCAUGAGCUUAGCUCAGUUGGUAUGAACAAUGCAUAUUAUAUGCAAGGUUGGGGAACCCCACCACCACAAAAAAAAAUCAUUUUGUUAAUAAAAAGAAUAUAUAUAUAUAUAUAUAUAGUUUGCUAACUUAGACCAACAAAAAACAUGAAGGUCCAAGUUAGCAAAAGUGCACAUUUUCAUUUGGACAAAAAAAACCAAUAUCCACUAGUAUAAACCAAUUUAAAGUAAGGGAUAGUUUAGUCCCUCAAGUUAUUUGUUAUAAAAUAAAAGUGGUCUAAGUUAUCAAAUUGGUGCAAGUGAACAAAUAUGUUUUAAUGAAAAUUACUAAAGUAACCCUGAAGCUAUUUCUAAUAAAAUAAAAGUGGAUCUAAGUUAGUAAAUUGGUGCAAGUUAACAAUUAAGUUUUAAUUAAAAUUACUAAAGUAACCCUCAAGCUAUUAGUUUUAAAUAAUAAAGAUGAAGGAUAUUUUUGUCCAAAUAAAAAGGUGCACUUUUGCUAACUUGGACUUUUAUGUUUUUUGUCCAAAUAUAUAUAUAUAUAUAUAUAUAUAUGGGGUUUGCUAACUUAGACCAACAAAAAACAUGAAGGUCCAAGUUAGCAAAAGUGCACAUUUUCAUUUGGACAAAAAAAACCAAUAUCCACUAGUAUAAACCAAUUUAAAGUAAGGGAUAGUUUAGUCCCUCAAGUUAUUUGUUAUAAAAUAAAAGUGGUCUAAGUUAUCAAAUUGGUGCAAGUGAACAAAUAUGUUUUAAUGAAAAUUACUAAAGUAACCCUGAAGCUAUUUCUAAUAAAAUAAAAGUGGAUCUAAGUUAACAAAUUGGUGCAAGUUAACAAUUAUGUUUUAAUAAAAAUUACUAAAGUAAACCUAAACAUGCACAUUGAUGUAUUGUAGAAACAUGUAAUAGUAAAACAUAUUUUUUUUUGACAAACAGUAAAUCAUAUUUUAUAAAUGGUCUAUUGGAACUCCUAAAUGCUAAAAACUAUUUAGCUGAACUUGACAAAGCAUGAAAACUUUUCUUCUAAAGUGAUCAAAACAAUUUUAUACUUUUUCAUGCAAAGGAGAAAAAAUAUAUCCCAAAUUGCAUAUCUAUUUUAAAUUUUUAUCAUCUUUCUUUUUGUAUUUUUCGUCCCAACCAAAAGUAACAAUAGGCGUUUGGGAUUGGUUCCAUGCAGAUCACGCGCUGAUUGUUCGAAAGAUAUGUGUAAGCCUCCUAAAUUUGUGUGGUGUUAUGAUGCUUAUUGUGUGUGCGUGGAAGGGUAACGAAUAAGUUGAAAAAUAAUUUUAUAUUACUUGUAACCAUAUAAUUAUAUUUGAACAUCAUAAUAUUGCUACACUUAUAAUUUUUCUCACACUUUUA